UGGGGAAUAUUGCACAAUGGGCGAAAGCCUGAUGCAGCAACGCCGCGUGAGUGAUGAAGGUCUUCGGAUUGUAAAGCUCUGUCUUUUGGGACGAUAAUGACGGUACCAAAGGAGGAAGCCACGGCUAACUACGUGCCAGCAGCCGCGGUAAUACGUAGGUGGCGAGCGUUGUCCGGAUUUACUGGGCGUAAAGGGUGCGUAGGCGGAUGUUUAAGUGAGAUGUGAAAUACCCGGGCUUAACUUGGGUGCUGCAUUUCAAACUGGAUAUCUAGAGUGCAGGAGAGGAGAAUGGAAUUCCUAGUGUAGCGGUGAAAUGCGUAGAGAUUAGGAAGAACACCAGUGGCGAAGGCGAUUCUCUGGACUGUAACUGACGCUGAGGCAC
rnacentral:rRNA from 1 species